UCUUCUAAGCUCUAACUAACAAUCAGAUACAUAGCUAAUAUUAAGUACGAAUAUUAGUAUAUGGUUCACCAACUUGUUACACUGGAGAGUGGAGACCAUCCAAUUACCAAAUCUUUAAGAACAUAUUCCAACAUUGCCCAUGCACACAUGUUGGGUCAAACAUAUCAGUGUCCACUCCAUGUUCAUAUCGCCAUGUCUAUAUAUACACAGAUUAUUAGAGUGUACUCAUCAACAACAUCAUAAGAAAGAGAAAAACUAAAAGAGAAAUGGUGACAUGAAGAAUGAGAAGUUGUGUGGUAGCCAAGGAUGACUUGCCUGCGUCUUAGACCAUAUCUAUCAAAGACUAAAAGAUUGAUAGUCUUCGAUGAAUUGGUUAAUCGGUAGGCAGUCUCCUCGGCUAUUCAGACAGUUCUCUUUCUCCUCAUUUCACAUUUCUCCUUUCCAAAGACCGAACACACAGUAAUGGUUGAUACAAACGAUUUUGUUUGCCCACUAAACAAUUUUCUUUCUUGGUUGGUCUUUAUAUUGAUUUUAUAGUAUACAAAAUUUGGUGGACUUUGGCCAUGUGUAAGCAUUGAUAUGUUGUGAAAACUCUGACACCAAGACCACCAAUGAAAAUACUCUUCUCUGAUCCACCACAUUGCACAAUCAGAGAAGGAAUCAUUAAUUCAUUACAGUUUAGCUUCUUCGUCUCCUCUUUUGAUCUCGCUUAGUUAAGACUUAAGAGAGGGGGAGAAAGUCAACGGCCAAAUGAUGGGUCGUAGAGAUAGAAUCCAACAGCUCCGUCGGCAUCAUCAUCGGUUGCGUAAGUUAACGAACGCGUCCAGGUACUCGAUAUUGAGGUUUAAAGAUUUUAGGGUUUAAAGUUCAUCACUUUCUUUGUGUUUAAGGUCCAUACAAUGAGGAUAUGGGUUUUCAAUUCAGGGUCUUUCUAUCUAAGGCCCACGGCUCCACCAAUAGAGCUGCUGGACCGUGUAGCUUACACGGAUAGGCUCUCCAAGGCACAACUGUGGGACCAAGCCGUUUUUUAAUGAGGAGUUGUAUUAUCCUUCGCAUCCUGAGUACAUUGGUCUGCAUGCUUCCAAGAGAGUGAUGGAUAUGUAUGAGUUUAUGAACAGUAAGGUUCUGUUCAAGAAUGAGGAACUGAAGAAGAAGGUGAAAUCGGUGAUUGUUCAUGUGAAUUACCAUCCAGAUAAGCUUAAUAGAAUGCAAGCUGUGGUUGAAUUCUACGUAAACGAUCAGACCCGGAUCGGAGUGAGCGUCUCUUCUCUUCGAAACGACUUAAUCUCGACUAAAAAAUGAUAUAUGUUCCAGUUGAAGCCACUUAGUAAUAAAAUAUUUGUAAUAUUUGUAAUAAAAUAUUUGUAAUGUUUUACAAGAUCUAAAAGGAACGAUAGUAGAAAAUACAUCUUACGACACAUUUUAUCUACAAAUAUAAAGCUUUUGGACACACACUCGAUGAUACUCCAAUCCUCUCUUUCAACAUGGCACAACGGGUUCUUUUGGUCUUCAUCUCAGCUACGAUCUUUAGAGUUCCCAAGUGUGAGCUCAAGAUCCUCCAUAGCCACAUCAUGGAUCCUCUCCCCUUCCCAUGGCUUAACUUGGCUGUUUUGACCAAUCUCUUGGGCUGCUGAAGUGUUUGGAGAUAAUUGUUGUGGUAAGGGAGGUUUGACAAGAUUGAAGGUUGGAGAGGGUGAAACUGAAGAGCCGCCAUGGAACGGCUGUUGUGAGAACUUUUGAAAGCUUAUCCAAUGACCCGAAUCAAUAGUGGAAGAGUCAGACUCAUUACAUUCAGGUAUAGUAGCCGGUGCAUUGAACUGGCGAUGAUGAGUGGGGCUCGUUGGUGCAGAUACAGCGUAGAACGGGUAGUUAAAAGAUGACACUGAUUGUCUAGCAGCAUUGGCCAUGGUCUGUUUGGUAAGAGACUCCCAAGUGGGUAAUGGCUUAGGGUUUCUAGAAGGUGGGGAUGAGACAGGUGGAGUGACAGGAGCACUGUUUGAGAUUCUAAGUGGAGGAAGCGAUGAAGGAUUAAUCCCACCGUUCCUGAGGAAAGGGAAGAUGGUGGAGAUGUUGUGUGUGUCGCCACUACGAGAAGGGCUCGGGAAUGCAGAAGAUGACGGGCUGACUUGGUAAGAAAGUAUGGGACUUUCAAAAGGACUUUGGUUAUAAGAAGAGUAAGGAGUGGCACGAGAAGAUGAUCCAGCCAUGUCAUCAGGAAGAGGCUUAUGUCCCUGAAAAUACCAGUUAGUUCUCAAACAUUAACAUAUGUAAUGACUGAGAUUUGUAGAUGCACUAUAAAGGCUCCAGUGGCGAACGUAAGUUGUGUUUGGAAGGGUCACUUGCCCACCAUAAACUUUUUGACUUGGUGUAAA